rnacentral:rRNA from 1 species
UACGUAGGGUCCGAGCGUUGUCCGGAUUUAUUGGGCGUAAAGAGCUCGUAGGCGGUUCCGUAAGUCAGAUGUGAAAACUCAGGGCUCAACCCGGAGACGCCAUCUGAUACUGCGGUGACUGGAGUCUGGUAGGGGAACACGGAAUUCCUGGUGUAGCGGUGAAAUGCGCAGAUAUCAGGAGGAACACCGAUGGCGAAGGCAGUGUUCUGGGCCAGUACUGACGCUGAGGAGCGAAAGCGUGGGGAGCAAGCAGG